UACAUGUGGGGCAAGCGUUGUUCGGAAUUACUGGGCCUAAAGGGUGCGUAGGCGAUUUGUUAAGUCACAGGUGAAAGUUUUCGGCCCAACCGGAAAAUUGCCUGCGAUACUGGCGAACUUGAGUGCGUGAGGGGUAGGGGGAACGAGCAGUGUAGCGGUGAAAUGCGUAGAUAUUGCUCGGAAGGCCGGAGCCGAAGGGGCCCUACUGGUACGUAACUGACGCUGAGGCACGAAAGCGUGGGGAGCAAACAGG
rnacentral:rRNA from 1 species